rnacentral:rRNA from 1 species
GUACACACCGCCCGUCACACCAUGGGAGUUGGCCUGCACCAGAAGAGGCUAGYUUAACCUUCGGGGGGACGGUCUCCACGGUGUGGUCAAUGACUGGGGUGAAGUCGUAACAAGGUAGCMGUAGGUGAACCUGCAGAAGGAUCA